CCUACGGGAGGCAGCAGUGGGGAAUAUUGCACAAUGGGGGAAACCCUGAUGCAGCGACGCCGCGUGAGUGAAGAAGUAAUUCUUUAUUUAAAGCUCUAUCAGCAGGGAAGAAAAUGUCUGUACCUGAGUAAGAAUCCCCGGCUAACUACGUGCCAGCAGCCGCGGUAAUACGUAGGGGGCAAGCGUUAUCCGGAUUUACUGGGUGUAAAGGGAGCGUAGACGGCAGUGCAAGUCUGGAGUGAAAGGCGGGGGCUCAACCCCCGGACUGCUCUGGAAACUGUACGGCUGGAGUGCAGGAGAGGUAAGUGGAAUUCCUAGUGUAGCGGUGAAAUGCGUAGAGAUUAGGAGGAACACCAGUGGCGAAGGCGGCUUACUAGACUGUAACUGACGUUGAGGCUCGAAAGCGUGGGGAGCAAACAGGAUUAGAUACCCUAGUAGUC
rnacentral:rRNA from 1 species